AGAGUUUGAUCAUGGCUCAGAAUCAACGCUGGCGGCGUGCCUAACACAUGCAAGUCGAACGCGACUUAGGCUUCGGUCUAAGUUGAGUGGCGAACGGGUGAGUAACACGUGGGUGACCUACCUUCGAGUGGGGGAUAACGUCCCGAAAGGGACGCUAAUACCGCAUAACAUCCUGCCUUUGAACAGGCGGAGAUCAAAGCCGGGGAUCGCAAGACCUGGCGCUUGAUGAGGGGCCCGCGCCUGAUUAGCUAGUUGGUGGGGUAAUGGCUCACCAAGGCGACGAUCAGUAUCCGGCCUGAGAGGGCGGACGGACACACUGGGACUGAGACACGGCCCAGACUCCUACGGGAGGCAGCAGUGGGGAAUUGUUCGCAAUGGGCGCAAGCCUGACGACGCAACGCCGCGUGGAGGAUGAAGGUCUUCGGAUUGUAAACUCCUGUUGCUCGGGACGAAAAGCUUCGACCUAACACGUCGAGGUCUGACGGUACCGAGUGAGGAAGCCCCGGCUAACUCUGUGCCAGCAGCCGCGGUAAUACAGAGGGGGCAAGCGUUGUUCGGAAUUACUGGGCGUAAAGGGCGCGUAGGCGGCCUGCUAAGUCGAACGUGAAAUCCCUGGGCUCAACCCAGGAACUGCGUCCGAUACUGGUUGGCUUGAAUCCGGGAGAGGGACGUGGAAUUCCAGGUGUAGCGGUGAAAUGCGUAGAUAUCUGGAGGAACACCGGUGGCGAAGGCGACGUCCUGGACCGGCAUUGACGCUGAGGCGCGAAAGCCAGGGGAGCAAACGGGAUUAGAUACCCCGGUAGUCCUGGCCCUAAACGAUGAAUGCUUGGUGUGGCGGGUAUCGAUCCCUGCCGUGCCGAAGCUAACGCAUUAAGCAUUCCGCCUGGGGAGUACGGUCGCAAGGCUGAACUCAAAGGAAUUGACGGGGGCCGCACAAGCGUGAGCAUGUGGUUUAAUUCGACGCAACGCGAAGAACCUUACCAGGCUCGAACGGUAGCUGACAUCCUACGA
rnacentral:rRNA from 1 species